CGGGUGAGUAAUGUAUGGGGAUCUGCCUGAUGGAGGGGGAUAACUACUGGAAACGGUAGCUAAUACCGCAUAACGUCGCAAGACCAAAGAGGGGGACCUUCGGGCCUCUUGCCAUCGGAUGUGCCCAGAUGGGAUUAGCUAGUAGGUGGGGUAACGGCUCACCUAGGCGACGAUCCCUAGCUGGUCUGAGAGGAUGACCAGCCACACUGGAACUGAGACACGGUCCAG
rnacentral:rRNA from 1 species